GUCGCUUUAGCUCAACCGGAAGAGCUGACGGCUCAUAACCGUUUGGUUGCAGGUUCAAAUCCUGCAAGCGGCA
rnacentral:tRNA from 1 species